rnacentral:rRNA from 1 species
GAUUGAACGCUGGCGGUAUGCUUAACACAUGCAAGUCGAACGGAAACGAUACUAGCUUGCUAGUAGGCGUCGAGUGGCGGACGGGUGAGUAACGCGUAGGAAUCUGCCUGAUAGUGGGGGAUAGCCCGAAGAAAUUCGGAUUAAUACCGCAUAAUCUAUUCGUAGUAAAGUGGGGGACUUUCGAGCCUCACGCUAUCAGAUGAGCCUGCGUAAGAUUAGCUUGUUGGUAGGGUAAAAGCCUACCAAGGCGACGAUCUUUAGCUGGUCUGAGAGGAUGAUCAGCCACAUCGGGACUGAGACACGGCCCGAACUCCUACGGGAGGCAGCAGUGGGGAAUAUUGGACAAUGGGGGCAACCCUGAUCCAGCAAUACCGCGUGUGUGAAGAAGGCCUGAGGGUUGUAAAGCACUUUCAAUUGUGAAGAAAAGUUAGCGGUUAAUAACCGUUAGCCUUGACGUUAACUUUAGAAGAAGCACCGGCUAACUCCGUGCCAGCAGCCGCGGUAAUACGGAGGGUGCAAGCGUUAAUCGGAAUUACUGGGCGUAAAGCGUGCGUAGGCGGUUUAUUAAGUCAGAUGUGAAAGCCCCGGGCUUAACCUGGGAACUGCAUUUGAAACUGGUCAACUAGAGUAUGGUAGAGGAAAGUGGAAUUUCUGGUGUAGCGGUGAAAUGCGUAGAUAUCAGAAGGAACAUCAAUGGCGAAGGCAGCUUUCUGGACCAAUACUGACGCUGAGGUACGAAAGCGUGGGUAGCAAACAGGAUUAGAUACCCUGGUAGUCCACGCCGUAAACGAUGAUAACUAGCCGUUGGGGGGAUUUACCCUUUAGUGGCGAAGCUAACGCGUUAAGUUAUCCGCCUGGGGAGUACGGCCGCAAGGUUAAAACUCAAAGGAAUUGACGGGGACCCGCACAAGCGGUGGAGCAUGUGGUUUAAUUCGAUGCAACGCGAAGAACCUUACCUGGUCUUGACAUCCUGCGAACUUUCUAGAAAUAGAUUGGUGCCUUCGGGAACGCAGUGACAGGUGCUGCAUGGCUGUCGUCAGCUCGUGUCGUGAGAUGUUGGGUUAAGUCCCGUAACGAGCGCAACCCCUAUCCUUAUUUGCCAGCACAUCAUGGUGGGAACUAUAAGGAGACUGCCGGUGAUAAACCGGAGGAAGGCGGGGACGACGUCAAGUCAUCAUGGCCCUUACGACCAGGGCUACACACGUGCUACAAUGGGAAGGACAAAGAGCCGCGAAGCCGCGAGGUGUAGCUAAUCUCAUAAACCUUUUCGUAGUCCGGAUUGGAGUCUGCAACUCGACUCCAUGAAGUCGGAAUCGCUAGUAAUCGUAGAUCAGAAUGCUACGGUGAAUACGUUCCCGGGUCUUGUACUCACCGCCCGUCA